AUUUAUAUUGUUCAUACUAUUUAAUUAAAUUAUUUUAUUAAACUCAUAAAUUUAUAUUUAUUUUUUAUUUGAAAGAAUUUGCCUUUUUAAAAAUUAAACGCAUGUAUGAAAAAAUAAAUCAAAAAGAGGAUUUAUGUAUUUAUGAUAUGGCAAAUGAUUUGUUUAUUGAGCAUUUAUCAGUAUGACUGUAGUUUUUCUAAGUGUUUGAACAGGAUUGACAUUUCAACAGCGUUUAAUGAUCCUCUUCUGUCAAGAGAGUUUAGUGCGCUCCUGAUUUACAGCCUGUAAGAAACUUCUUUUUUUUUUUUUUUUAAAAAGUGACAUACUCUGUAAUCAUUUGCGUCAGAUGUUUGCAAACAACCUCAUGUUUAACCCCUGUGUAUUUCUCGAGAGAAACAAAACCUGUAAGAUUGAGCCACAGGUGAGAUCUACCGCACCAAACGGCACAAUCGAGAUGUUUGUCAGGGUUUAAUUGCUGUGCAAUUCCUUAAGAAGAAGUUGCUCGACAGGUAGCGCCACAUUUGAUGCAAAAGCUGCCCAUCAGGUUUGAUGUAAAAUGGCAACCCUUUCCUCCGCAUGACCGAGCACGCUUCGAGUCGCACCGAUGCUACAGCAGCGACCGCAGAAGAUGAUGACUCAGAUGGGAAACCAAUCACUAGGUCUAGUGUUCAAGUCCCGACUUGACGGUACGGCCUGCAGGCUACCAUGUGGCUUUUUUUCAAACUGUCUACAUCAUGCCUGAGCGCAGGAUGAAGGCACUUCCUGUGAAUGACUGUGUCGCUGCGGUGAUGCGGCAGCAGAUGGUGGGAGUGGGUCUUUGUAACCAGGACAGCCACUGCCCCACUUUCUCAUGUUCUGUGUGUGUGUGUGUGUGUGUGUGUGUGUGUGUGUGUGUGUGAGGCAUGUGAAGCAUGUAAGGAGUGUCGUGAAGUCGAUCGUCUCCUCCGGGGCCAGGGCAGGUCGCGCUGCUGUUUCUAUCCCGCAUGUGGAGAUGUUGAUCUUUCUCUGUCUGGAUUUAAUCACCGAUGACAUCCUGAGAUUUUAUGUUUUACCCAGAAUCCUAAGAAUGUGUCAGAGGAAUACUUGAUUUACUCAUCAUCAUGCUUGUUCCAAACCCUUAUGACUUUCUUUUUAAAGUGGAACACGAAAGAAGAAGUUCAAUGAAAGUAGACUGCGCUCUAAAAAAAUACCGGGUUAAAAAUAACCCAAGUUGGGUAAAAGAUGGACACACCCAGCGAAUGGGUUGUUUUAACCCAGCAGUUGGGUUAAAUGUUUGGCCCAACCUGCUGGGUAGUUUUAUUUAACUCAACUAUUGUUUAAAAAUUACUAUUGCUCACUUAAAAUGAACCCAAAAUAUGUUGGAAGUUUACAUUUAUUACUGUUUAAUAAAUAAUAAACAUUUAUUGAAUUGCUUAUUAAUAAAUGUUCAUCUUUUGAUUAUUAUUGUUGCCUCUAGUAAUUAUGUGUCUGAUUUUUAGUUUCCAACAUAAUUUGGGUUCAUUUUAAGCCAGACAUACAAUAAUUUUUAAACAACAUAGUGGAGUUAAAUAAAACUACCAGCAGGUUGGGCAAACAUUUAACCCAAGACACUGGGGUUGUCCAUUUUUAACCCAACUUGGGUUGUUUUUAACCCAGCAUUGUUUAGAGUGUAUGACCAAUGGCUGUCAAACUCUAAAAAGCACCAUAUGCUGUUUGGUCAUGUCAAAACAACAAAAAAUAUACCAUAAAAGUUCAGUGGUGGACAAAGUAAUCCAAUCAAGUGCUUGAGUUAAUGUUAAAGUGCCUCUAUUAACUUUUUGGAUAUGUAGUGUGUAAUAUAGCUGUUUGUGAAUCUAAAAAGUCUGCAAAGUUUGGAGUUAUUGUCUAUGGUAAAACACAGUACUUGCAGUAAAUCAAGAAAAUGAGAUUUAAUCAGUAAAGCUUACUGUGCAAUGUCAUUGUAUAGAAAUGAGCAGCUUGGACAUUCUGCCAAACUUCUCCUUUUGUGUUCCACGAAAGAAACUAAGUCAGGAUUUGGAGCGACAUGAGGGUGAUUAAAUGAUGACGACAAUUGUAUUUUAUUUAUUUUAAAGGUGAUAAAUAUUAUGGAAGUCUGACUUUUUCCAUGUUUAAUGCUAUAAUCGGGUUCCUAAUGCAUCUACCAACCCAGAAAACAUGAAACAGGACAACCCAAUAACUUUGUUUUGGUCAGCCUUUCUCUGCAAGCAUGUGAAAAAAUGAGCCACUCAGAUUUCGCUCCCUUUGUGAUGUAGGAAGGGGAUCUUAUUAUAAUAUUACCACCCUUUAAUCUGUAUGUUUCCACCGACGGCGCCGCCAUUUUGUUUUUCGCAAGCAAAAACGGUCUAACACCAUGGCAAAAGUUUGAGCAAAGCAUGCUAACUGUUCUGUCAUUGGCUGCACAGACGAGCACUGAACAGUAUUUAGAGUCUCGUUAGCUUGGAUAGUCUGCAAGUUGACCCUGGCAAGCUCGAUUGCUAAAAAAAAGGAGCGUUUCUGUCCGAGCGAUAUUUUGGAAAACAAUAUUAGACCAUUCACAGCAUUUGAUAGCAAUCAUAAACGUUAGCCUGGUGUGUAUGACUCUGUUCCACAGGUACGCUAUGUAUAAUGGGCGUCCAUAUGGGUUUUGCACAAAAGAUUAACAUGACGCACAUGCUAGUGUAUGAGUUGAAUCAACUCCACAGCAACUACAUAAAUUUAUCCACUAACCAUUCAGAAACGUCUAAAAGUUGUAACUUCUUCCUGAGUCUCUCCAUCAGUGUCGACUCCGGUUUGAAUAAUGUAAGGCUGAACACCGUUACUGACAAUCCUCAUUUUGGCUGCGUGAGAUUCUCCAGCUUUGUUGUUGUUGAGCUGUUAAAGCUCCGCCCUCUUCUGGAAAGGGAGCAGCAGCUCAUUUGCAUUUAAAGGGACACACACAAAAACGGCGUGUUUUUGCCAGUAUUUUGUGCUGAAACUUCAGACACAUUCUGGGGACACCAGAGACUUAUAUUACAUCUUGUGAAAAGGGGCAUUAUAGGUCUCCUUUAACUGUUCCUUUGAGACACUUACUUUUAUGGAAACACAAGUUGCAUUGUUUUAUGCAUGCAUUAUAGUAAAAUCUCUGGUGUUUCAUGUUUUGUAUAAUGUUUUUAAAAUACCCCAGAGCCCAAUUUGCAUUUUUGGCCAGCAACUGUUCCUCUUUUGGAAUGCAAGACGGCUGCUGCUGUAACCUCUCUGGACAGGUUGACUUCUGACAAGGAUGCAUUAAUGAACACAAGCCACCUGGCUUAGCGAGAGGACACAAACCAACAGAAAACGCUCUUGAACAGGUGGUGGACCACCACUGCUAUGUGCACAAAUAUGAACUUGAGACACGUGUUGUUAAGUAUAGUGAAGCAAGUGCUCUGGUACUAAAAUGUAUUGAUGUUUCCAGCAGUCGUUUUUACUUUUUUCCAUCUCCUGGCUGGUUUUUAGGUUCCCCCGCUCUUAUUAAGCUUGGCCAGCUCAAUGGCACUUGUUAGCAGUCUCUCAGCGUUUUGCCCUCCAUGACUCAAGCACCGUCUUCACCAAACCAAGUGCACUGCAGACUAGGGUUUUCCAUAUAAUAGGACGAGUGUGAAGAUUGCUGCCCACUGUUCCAGCAUGGCUUCUCUGUGGAGGAUGUUGGUAUUGUGUUCAGAACAAUAAGUCUGAUUUUAUUGUGAUAUAAAAGGCCUACAGCAGAACUUGUGAAAAGACAGUUAUUAUUAAAGGGAUAGUUCACCCAAAAAUGAAAAUGAUCCCAUGAUUUACUCACCCUCAAGCCAUCCUAGGUGUAUAUGACUAUCUUCUUUCAGACGAACACAAUCGGAGAUGUAUUUAAAAAUCUCCUGACGCUUUCAAGCUUUAUAAUGGUAGUGAAUGGUUUUUGAAGCCAAAAUAAUGCAUCCAUCCAUCAUAAAAGCAAUCCAUAAGAGAAGAGGAGCUUGAGUUUGUUGCCCAGCCUUAUUUGUUUGAACCGCGAGAGGCGUCUAAGCUUACGAUACUCCUACAUCCUACGUCUUACAUCACGUCACGGGUCGACUUGCGCAGUAUGUGUACAGUCAUCUGCCGGAAGCUAGUCAUUUUAAUUUUAAAGUUUUAAAUAUGGAUAUUUUUCUUACAAAAACCCAUCGCUUCACUUCAGAAGGUCUUUAUUAACCCCCUGGAGUUGUAUGGAUUAGCUAUUUUUUUGAUGGAUGGAUGCAUUAUUUUGGGCUUCAAAAUCGCACCUGCCGUUCACUACCAUUAUAAAGCUUGGGAGAGCCAGGAUAUUUUUAAAUACAUCUCCGAUUGUGUUUGUCUGAAAGAAGAUAGUCAUAUACACCUAGGAUGGCUUGAGGUGAGUAAAUUUUCAUUUUUUUGGUGAACUAUCCCUUUAAGAGAGACACUGAAAAAUGAAGCACUAGAUAUUAGCGCUGCCCUCAACCCAAAAAUUUUCUAGUCGACUAGUAGUCGUUCAUUUUAAGCUAUUAGUUGACUAAUCGCACAUGUAUAUUAAUAAGCCAUAUAAAUCAUAAUAAUGAGCCUUUAAUUGCCUAUAUAUAAUACAUAGCCUAAUCAUAAAGUUGGCACAGCGCACUGGUAAAAGUAACGACUAUGAAUGUGUCGUGAAAAACGGCAAGGAAACUAAAUAUUAGAUAUAUUUUUCAUGUCUGUGAGGAAAGUAUACACUGAGUUUUGGUUUAUUUAUUUUUAUGACGUGCUCAAGUUCACAGAGAUCGAGUUUUACAAGAGUUUUACAAAGGCGCGACGUUUUUUUGUUAUUUUGAGUUUACACAAAGUUUUGAAUGAUGUAUUAUUCUUAUCUGUAUGACCAAAAUGACAGAGUUUAAGUUGUUCCUGCUGUUUUCAGGAAAAAUUACAAGUGAUCGCGCCAGCGCCUCUUGCAGUAAGCGCGAUAUACUUCAGCUUCCACACUCCGCACAAACACGUGGAUAUGCGCCUAAUAUUAACGCACAUUUAUCUAGGUUAACGUUAACAAUAGAGAGAGCGGCCAUAUAAAGUGGCUAACAUUAGGCUACUACUUACAUGUUUGAGGUCACGUCACCUUUUUUGAGGUCAUUCUUGACCUUAUCGAAAUGUUCCCACACUUUGGAUUUUCUUCCCGGACCAGCAUUGUUAGUGAUCUGUCACAUGUGUGACUUCGCCAAUUUCUGGAGGUUUUUUUUUUCUGUGACUAACUGACUGAUUACAAUUUAGUUGACCAAGCCUCUUUUUGUCGACAAACGUUUAGUCGACUAUCAGGGGGCAGCCCUAGUAAAAACCAUAAACUAUACUUUGGGCUUAUAUUAAGGGCUGUGACGAUAAUCGCAUUACCACAUCACCGCGGUAAUGAGAUUCAUAAACAAUAUCUUAUCAAUUAAUUACGACGUUCACACCCGACGUUCUUGGUUUUCUUCCUAUUUAUUAAAUCCAGGAAAUUGGUUGAUAAAACACUGAUUAAAAUCAAAAUACAAUUUAUACAAAACGAAAUUCACUUUAAAGAAAGGCUUUCUACAAAAAAAAACUUAAUGAAGUGGUCAAAAUCAUGUCUGACCCACUGCAUGUCUCCCGACAUAUUGCGCAUCUUAUUAGCCUAUCUUAGUCAUGCUGUUCACUUUUCAUAAUCAACAUAAAUAAAAUUUUAAAUCUAAUAUUAGGCUAUAGUCUAAUAUUUAAACAUAAAUAUGAAACUAAAUAGGCUAUGCUUUUUUUAACCCUCUGACCAACGAACGCGCCGGCGCGGUCUGAUGGAUUUUUCUUCAUGACAGCUGAAACAACUUAAAAUAGGCCUACUCCGUCAUUUUUGGCGAUACAGAUUAGUGCAAGACAUCAUCACAAACUACAAAUGGUCUACUUUUAUUUGUGUACUCUCACAAUAAAAAGAAAAACCUUCUGCUUUUGUAAAAUAAUGAAAAAAAAUCUUUCUGAAACGUCUCAAAAAUGAACUGAAACUCAGCGACUAAUUCACAGAAACAUGAAACAUACGUCUAAAGAGAGCUUGAAAUGUCUACUUUUAAAUUAAACAAUUCACAUUUAAAACAAAUAUUCUCCUGCAGUGUUAUCUGUAUGAAACUAAAGAGAUGCACAACAUGUUGCGAAUGUUAACCCGCCAAACCGCGGGAUUCAUUGCUUCAUCACUGCGGUAAGAAAAAAAACCCAUACCGUCACAGCCCUAAGUAGCAAAAACUAGUAAUAAAAUAAAAAAAAAAUAAAAAAAACUUUUUUACGUAAGUGUUCAACCACUGAAGCAUGACCAAUCAGCUUGCAGAAUAGAUAGUGACCUGGAUUCAUGCUUGACCUUAUUGGCCGAUGUGGUUUUUAAAUCAUUUCCUUUGAGAAGGACCUCAGUGCCAGUGCUGUGAGAACAUUCAAAUUUCUCAUUCUCAUAGAUAAAAGUUGUAAAAUACUUCUGAACCAGACUGAGGUUAUGUGUGUUUUAGCUCUUCUAAUCUAGCUGUUUGUCCUGUGGCCUUCAUAGGUGCGGCUUGUUUCUCUGUGGAUGAGUCAGUGAGUCUGGAUAAGGGUGGUGCCAUCCAGGGCAGAUUGCUGUAUCAUGGGCUCUGUCCUUCUCAGCCUGGGCUUUUCUUUUGCCGGGCUUCGAUGACUAUUUUUAAUACCGAUUUGAUAACUUCCUCAACAUAUUUUUAAUUGUAUGGCCACUGUGGCCAGACCACCGAUAACUUUGACUGUUUUACAUUGCACAAACAUGAAGUACCAUAAACUUGCUUCCUUUUGAGACAGACAACACUGAAAGGAAUGAUUAUAUACACACACACACACACACACACACACACACAGGGCUUGACAUUAGCUUUUUUGCUCACCAGCCACAGUGGCUAGUGGUUUUCCAAAGUUACUAACCACUCAGCAUAUUCACUGGCCACAAUAUUGACAUCAAUACCAUGGGGAAAAAAACUGCCACAUAGAUAUUUUUAAUAUUAUCUCAUAAUUUGGCAGCAGCUUUAUUAGGAUUCUGUGGAUUUUGGAAAAUAAUCUAAUUGCGAUUAUUUUUACCAAUAUUGCGAUUGCGAUCAUUUUAUCUUCUGUAUUAUUCAACAAAGACAAGCAAUAAAUCAUUGUUAGGGUGGAAAUCUUUAGGCACCUCACGAUCCGAUUCCGAUUCUGGGAGUCACAGUCCGAUUCCAAAACUAUUCUUGAUCUUUUUCUCUUAUUGAUUAGUCUUAUUAAUAAAACUUUUUUUUUUAUUAUUUAAUUACAUAUGUAAAAAUAAGUACUUUUUUAAAAUAAUUACACAAUAAAAAUUAAUUAAAACAAUUGCAUGUUAAUAAUUUUAAAUAAACUAAUAUAAGACAGGGCUUAAAUUAAGCCAGGAUUAGGCCUUAGAAAAAAACAUUACUGCUGUGCAUCUUGAGACAAAACAAUGGCACUGACAUAUUUUAAGACAUGUCAGUGCAAGUUGUUUUUAGUUAAGACAGCUCAAACAUUUAUUUUAGUCUGGGACUAGCUUAAGCCUUGUCUGUGAAAAGCUAGUAAAUAAAAAAGGGGGGAAAAAACCUAUUACAAGCAAUAAAUAAAGAGUGAUUUCAGUAUUUAAGAGUAUCUGAACAUUUUCUUUUCAAGAGCUGUGAUUUUUCUCUCAGCUUUACUGUUGUUGAUUAUUAUGAUGAAAUCACAGAGAGCGGGAGAUCUAAUAAGCUGCAUUCACACUAAUGCACAGAUCUCUUUUGAAAUAUAAGAUGUGGUUUUCCUGUCUGUUUGAUCCCUGAAGACAUAACUGACUGUGUUGACAUUAAUUUUGCGUCAUAAAAGCAUUUUGAGAUGCAAGUACAACCACUUUAACAGAGUCGCGCACAGCCGCAUAACCAGCACACUUCACAAAGCGCGUCAGCAUUUGAAAUUGACAUAACGACAUAACUGAGGCAGCGUUCGUAGAGCAUUUGUAAGGAAAAUACCGGCGGGCGAGACGACACGGUGCAUCCUGUGCAAUGAAGCGCGCGAAUGUCCUUGUAAUUGGCUUCAACCUUUCCGAACUUUAUUAAAGAUUGUUUUGUGGAUGGUUCGAGUGGUGUGUGAGUGUGAGUGUGAGAGAGAGAGAGAGAGAGAGAGCAAUUGGACGUAAGCAGAAUAAGUUUCUAAAGCACACGCAGCACCAUCGCGCAUCUUUGUUAUAAACUAAGCUCAUAAUCAAUCUAGAAUCGUUAGAGUACGAACAACACAAUAUUAGAUAGAUUAAACAUAAACUGUGCUUUCCUGUAGGCAUGUCAUAAGCGUAGCGUGCCAAGUUGAUGCUUCCUCUGCAGACUGCUUUACUCUCGCAUCACGUGACGAGUGUGUAAUCGCAGCCUUUGCGGUUAAAAAAUUGUGUUUUGUCAUAUCGCAAUAUUAUCGCAAAUGCGAUUAAUCGUUCAGCCCUACUGCUGUCACUUUAAGACCUGACGCACGGAUCCAUUAUACUGUUACACAUGCGUUUUCUUUCUCAACUGUUUUGUUCACUUCAAACAUAACUGACUGUGUUUGUGAAUACUCACCAAGACCAGCAUUUUGACAUUAUUUUGUGUGUAUUUGACUGUUUAACUGCAAUAAGCAGCGAAAAAUAACUCAAUUUAGUACUGAGACGCGGCUUUAUGUGCGAAAACUUUGAGCAGAAAAUCUGCGGGAAUGAGUAAAAUUAUGUGCAAUAUGAGCAAUCCCACGCCAAAAUUCAAGCCCUGUAACAACAACAUUUAUCCGGAGCAAAUGAAACGAGUGAGGGGAGGAGGGUUUGUGUGUCGACUCGCUCUCAGAGAGAUGAGAGAGAGAGAGAGAGAGCAGCUGAUAUCGUGUCUAUUCUGCGGAAAAUGAGUAUUGGAAGCGUUUCAGAUGUUUCAGUAUCGAUAUGUAUAAAAAAAAUCAACAUUACACUGCACUUAAUUUAUCAUUUCAGAUGCCUUUUUUAAAGACUACAAUUAAAAAAAUGUAUAUAUUAUAAAAUUCAACUCACAAAGUGGCUAGUAGGAGUGACUAUCGAAAUCGCAUCCAAGUUAAAAGUUUGUUUACAUAAUAUGUGUGUGUACUGUGUAUAUUUAAUAUGUGUAUAUAAAUACACACACACGUAUGUAUACAUUUAAGAAAAAUAUUAGACUAAAAAUAUUAGAAUUUAAUUUUUCAGUUUAAUGCGUUAAAAAUAUUUAACGCAGCAUCCGUUUUUUUCCGUCACAAUUUGGCUAGCGUUAUAUUAUAUGAUCGUGCUCUUAUUCAUGCAAAUGAUUUUAAACCAUUCAAGAGCCACAAGACAAACGAGUCAUGUGACACACGACUCGUGUGCACAGAAAGAUGCGUUCUCUUUCACGCUUGAACAAACAAUAACACAGAAUUAUGCCAAAAUGCCCGUUUUGUCGAGUAUCCUCAUACACAGCAGUCUUAAAUGAAUUAAAUAACAUCUUAAAUUAACUUAAUGAGAUGCGCGUCAUGUUCGGCAGUGGCAGCUCUUAAAGUGACAGCAGCCUAAUAAACCAGUUCCUGUGAUGUCUGUCAUUAAUGUUCAUCAAAGAACAAAGAUAACAGAAAAUUUUAGCUUUAUUAAGGAUUAAUCUAUAUUUCGUUUAUAAUUUAUGCAGUGAACACUGUAAAGUGUUUAAUAACUUUAUUCAAUUUCUGUAUAUGUCCUAUCUGUUAGACAGGUAAAUAUGACAUUUAUUAUAAUGGGCAUAUGUGAAGAUUGUUUUAAGUUCACUUAAAUUCAAAAGUUGUUGUUUUUUAAAGCCUAAUAAAUGUUGAAAAUGAGAGCUUUCAGUUAUACUGUAAUGUUGAAUGUCUAUAAUUAAUGUUUUUAAAAGAGAGACAUCGGUACCAGUAUUAGUAUCAGUGAUACCGGACUUCAUUCAUAAAAAGAUGCCAUUAAACAAAUAUUUAAAAUAUACUGUCUUUAAGUUGUUUCUACAUUAAUUGGGAGAGUAACUGUGAAAUUAUUACAAUAUAAAAAUCAUCAAUGUUUUCAAUUGCUAUAAACACAUGGAGUCUCACCACUCUGGUCUGAUGCAAUGAUAUAUGAAUUGAAAUGUAUUGAUUUAAGCGGCCUACUACUUUUUGGGGCUACUGUAUUCUUAAAUUGUGCCUGAAUGUCAUUGAGGGUCGCCAUGGAAAUGGACACAAUAACCCCGCAGAUGUCUCUGUUUACAGAAUCAAGGUCAGAGGCUAGUGCAGUUAUCAUGGGAGAGACAAGACUUUACCACCGCUAGCUCAGCUCCGGCUAACAUAUGUCCUGGAAAGUGGCGUUAGCAUUGCUCAUGCCAGUACCUAGAUUACGCCACAAGACCAUAAUCCUUUUCUCGCUGGCAUCCUCUAGCAAAGCCACAUCAGUAAAUCCUACAAAUACUCAUUAUUUUUCCUGGAGGAGAUCCUCAGCUGUCCCUUCACCCAGGCAGUGUUGCGAAGCAGCAUGCGCUUGGGUGGGAAACGCUCUAAAAUGCCCCUUCCUGUGAUCAGACACGGCGAUUACAGUGGCUAUAACAGAUUAAAGAGCCAUCAGAGGCCUGUAAUUACAACCCUGCUUCUUUGGCCUUGACUUCCAUCUGUUCUUUUGCUUGAAAGAAUUGACACGAAGGACACACACUUUGAACUCUUUAGAAGGCUAUGAAUAAAAUGUUUUUUUUUUUUCCCUCUAAGUAAAAGCCUGUCAAAUCAAAUAUGAUAUAAAAACUCUGUCCAUCCUUUUGUCUGUAGGUCCAAUAAACGGCUCCAUCCAUCCUUUUGUCUGUUGGUCCAAUAAACGGCUCCAUCCUUUUGUCUGUAGGUCCAAUAUACAGUUCCAUCCUUUUGUCUGUAGGUCCAAUAAAUUGUUCCAACCAUCCUUUUGUCUGUAGGUCCAAUAAAGGGCUCCAUCCAUCCUUUUGUCUGUAGGUCCAAUAAAGGGCUCCAUCCAUCCUUUUGUCUGUAGGUCCAAUAAAGGGCUCCAUCCAUCCUAUUGUCUGUAGGUCCAAUAAAGGGCUCCAUCCAUCCUUUUGUCUGUAGGUCCAAUAAAGGGCUCCAUCCAUCCUUUUGUCUGUAGGUCCAAUAAAGGGCUCCAUCCAUCCUUUUGUCUGUAGGUCCAAUAAAGGGCUCCAUCCAUCCUAUUGUCUGUAGGUCCAAUAAAGGGCUCCAUCCAUCCUUUUGUCUGUAGGUCCAAUAAAGGGCUCCAUCCAUCCUAUUGUCUGUAGGUCCAAUAAAGGGCUCCAUCCAUCCUUUUGUCUGUAGGUCCAAUAAAGGGCUCCAUCCAUCCUUUUGUCUGUAGGUCCAAUAAAGGGCUCCAUCCAUCCUAUUGUCUGUAGGUCCAAUAAAGGGCUCCAUCCAUCCUUUUGUCUGUAGGUCCAAUAAACUGUUCCAUCCUUUUGUCUGUAGGUUAAAUAAACAGUUCUGUUUAAAAAAAA